AGUCAAGGUACUUGCUUAGCUAGCUGCUGGAACUAUUGUACAGAAUCUUUAGCAACAAAUGCGGUGGAUUUGCACAAGCCAGACCCGGGCCUUAACUACGCAGAGCAGGAUCCCCAUUACGACCAACAAGCACACCUUUCUGGAUUGAAUAAACUCGACAAACUCGACAAACUUUUCAUCUGGAUGUGCAGGACACACGUUUAGUCGGUCGAGAAGUUUUACAAACGAAUUGGCUGAUUCUAGUGUUAACUGUUUUGGAAUAGCACGAUUGUGCAUCCAUGUCAGAUCUGAAUGUAUCACAAGGCAGUGACUAACAAUGGCUGCUUUGAAGUGGAAGGUUCGGAACUCAGUUUGAUCUUAUCGGGGGUACCUAGGCUUUGCUCUAGCCACAAGGUUCGAAUAACUUGCAAAUUUUCCAAAGCUUGAGCGGGACACAGAUUCAGAUUGAGAUUGAGAGUCUGUAGGCAACACAGGAUGAGGUGACACAGGUUGAGAGUCUGUAGGCGACAUAGAUUGAGGCGACACAGAUUGAGAGGGCGACAGGUUGAGGUGACACAGGUUGAGAGUCAGUAGGCAACACAGGAUGAGGCAACACAGGUUGAGAGUCUGUAGGUGGCACAGGUUGAGGUGACACAGAUUGAGACGACACAGGAUGAGAAUUGAUGGUUCUCAAUACCUGUAGAAAAACAUAACAUCAAUCAUGUUCAUAUAAUUAACAAACAAAAAUACCUUUCCCAUUCGUUUUGGCACCCAAUUUUUCCGCUGGAAAAAGCGUGAUUUACGCGGCAUAGCUACAUGUAUAUUUAUACAUGAUGUAAUGAACUUUACACUUACACCCAUACACACUUGUAGGUCUAUUUGCACUUCACAUUUAAAAGCUUUUAGCAAACUUUACAACAUUCUUAUAUCUAAUACAUACGUACAUAGAAAAAAGUGUGUUGAUACUUUGCAAUGGUGAUACUUUGCAAUGGAGAGAGAGGAACACAAAUACUAUACUGUAUUGCGUAAUUGCGUAAUUGCUACAAAUUCUGCAAGACUUAUGCUAAAUAUUUUUCACUUGGGUCUAACAAUCACUUGGGUCUAACAAAUGCACACAGCACUAGUAAUGCCAACAAAACCUAAAUCGACAAUAGGAACACAAAAUGGUUGUAUUAGAAACAGGACUCUCUCUAAACGAUGAACACACAUAUUCUUCUAGAUAAAGCACAUACAGCUACACGUUUCAGACUUCUCAAGGGAGCGGGAUUAUCGCGGUGAAUAUUAAAAGAGAUACACUUCUACAGCCUUUACAUAGAGAUCAAAGUAAAAGCAUCACGUGAAUAGCCACAGAACGUGCAAGCAGUAAUUGCUCACACAGAGGAGGAGGCUUCGAUGUUAAGUCUCCAAGAUGAAAAUGGAUCAUUUCUAGAAAUUUUGCUACCUAAGAGAUAAGAGAGCAGGAGCUGCAGGCUACCAGAACUGCCCUUGAGGAGGGGAGAACUGGUGACCCAGCUGGAAGACUAAAGUCAAGAGUAUUUGGCGUAUGAAUUGUGAUCAGAUUACUAUGUAUGAUGUUGAAAGUAGUAAUAGAGAUGCUACACUAGAAGCUCGUGUAAGUGAGCUAGAGACGGGCAAGGUAACUGUGCAGGCAACUAGAAUUUCGAGCGCAGGCGCCCCCAGAAUGAGCGAAACACUGCCAAGUGUGUCGAGCAUAAGCAAUGUCACGAGUAGAGGGGGAUCAGGUCCACAGCGUCGAAGGGGGAAAGCCCCUCCCGUUGACCCAUUCUCAGCUGAGAAUCCUGAAGUGAGACUGGACGACUGGUUGGUUCAGUGUAUGUAUAGACCAUGUGACACAACAGACUAUCUGUAUACUGCAGUACAGUACAUGUAUAGGCCAUGUGACAUGUCAAGUAGAUUAAAUAUAGACCAACAUGCCAUCUGCAGUUUAGUACAGUACAUGACGAAAUGUCAACUAAUCAGCAGGAGAGAGAUCCUGUAUCCGCAUCCACAAUAAAUAUUUUUGAUACACAUAUUCCAGGCAUGCAGAUGUAACACUGUUCAUUCAGUCACAAUACAUCACGUAGAGUAAGCAUGCAUGACAAGCAUGCAUGACAAACAAAACGAAUUAUUACUAACUAUUUGAGUCUUUGUUACACACCCCCUCCUCUAGACUCGAUCGUCCCGAUCAAGCGGUGGGCGUCUUCUGGUCACUGGGUACCUCCUCAUGGGUAUGUCCUCCUUCUCAGCUGCCAGCUGCGGUGGUCUCGUCGUCAGCUGUGCUCCUCGGCUGCUGCAUUCCUGUCAGAGACCUCAUCAGAGACCUCAUCGCACUCGUCCACGCCGGUCUUCUCCCCCUAAGCAUUUUUUCUUCCCUCCAUACCAAUAGAAUCCUGCUGGUAGAUUUAGUGGGCUCAGUUUCACUUGUAUGUUGAGGGAGUUUGAGCAAACAUCUGGGCCGUAGGGACCAUGCCAGGGACGGCUUAGUUUCCUCAAACGACCGCUCUCCUCCUGGGGGAAUCUCACAAACACCCAAUCCCACACCGAUCUCUGUCGCUGAGACAUGGCUACACGUGCCAUCAUGAGUGUCUGUAGAGGUGAUGGUGAAGGUAAAGCAGGACCUGUUUUAGUAGCCAUGUGGACGUGAAGUUUACACUGCCUUCUUCUGUGUCCACGAUGCAAUCUGCUGAUGAGUUGUCCACGUACAUGCUAAGGGACAAAGUUGGUAGUAACAUGGCUUGGUUAUCACACAGUGCUUUGGCUAGGUGUAGCACUAUGUGCAGUGUGCAUUUAGUGAGCUUGUCAGUAUUGGGAUCUGACUUCGUGUAUUCCCAAAUUGAUAUAUAGUUUAGGAUUUGAGCGUUGCUGUACUUACACAUUUCUAAAUGCGAUAACAUGACAAACAAAUGACAUCAUUGUCAGUAAUUUCCUCCUCUCCGCACAGGAGGGAAUUGACAAGAAGAACGUCUGGACAGUGUCUGUGGAAGCGUUUGCCAGACUUCGGUUUAAUCCCGCAGGAUGAACAUGUAGUGGGCCCCAAGUUUCGUAGGGAGAGUGGUAUUUAA